rnacentral:rRNA from 1 species
AAUGAACGUUGGCGGCGUGGAUUAGGCAUGCAAGUCGAGCGAGAAACCUCCUUCGGGGGUGGAAAGCGGCGAAAGGGAGAGUAACGCGUGGAUUACCUACCCUGGGGUCCGGGAUAGCUGCGGGAAACUGCAGGUAAUACCGGAUGAUAUCUGCGGAUCAAAGGUGAGAUUCCGCCCUGGGAUGGGUCCGCGUCCUAUUAGCUUGUUGGUGGGGUAACGGCCUACCAAGGCGACGAUGGGUACCGGGUGUGAGAGCAUGACCCGGCUCACUGGGACUGAGACACUGCCCAGACACCUACGGGAGGCUG